UUGUCCCGCCGAGACUUUUGCACGUGUAACACGCGUUAUUUCUUGUUUCUUUCAAUAACGUAUUUUUGUAUAAUAGUAAGUUUUAAUAUAUCAUUUCGUGGGAAAUGAACGUGAAGUGGUUGUAAUGUGAUCGUGAGGGUUUGAUUUAAUUAUAAAGGUGUAUAGUUUUAUAUUUUGAGGUUAUCUUGUAUUCGUAAUGGCGUGCUAUGAAUUUUGGUUAUACGAAUUUCGAUCAGUAAUUUUUAAUGUUAUGUUGAGUCAUGGACACGAAAGCGUCUUCGCCUGUGCGAACUGUCGCAAGAGGAGGAAGAUAUGUGAAUGGUUCAAGAUGACGUGAUCGACGUGCAUGUGUGAACAUGUGCGAAGGAAAAUGCUGAAGGGGCGGUUUUCCACACAAGUAGGCCCAGUGGCUCCUUCGUCGGCGUCGUGUCCUGAUGAUCCUUUGAUGAUUUGAUUUUAUUUGACAAUAUAAGAUAUAUUUUGCUUAUUAUGGAUUUGUAUGUCCAUAUUUGCUAUA